GACAGCAGACUUACUGGGGACACGCUGUAGAGCUCCGAUGAUGGCUGUUGGCCGAAUGGAUGAAUGGCUUCAUUAACUUCACUGCAACACGCAGGAGUCCUUGAUCUCCCCCCUUGAAAGGCUGGAGCACAGUGGCAUGAUCUCGGCUAACUGCAACCUCUGCCUGCCUCCCAGGUUCAAGCAAUUCUCCUGCCUCAGCCUCCCAAGUAGCUGGGAUUACAGAUCCUAGUCCACUGCCUGGAACAUGGAAGAUGCUCCAUAAUUGUUUGCUGAAGGAACGAGUGAUAACCAGAGAAGCCAGCUCCUGCUUCCUGAUUAAGGCAUGCAGUCAGGCCAGUGGGGAAAUGGGCCUCAUGGUGGAGCUUGCCUCUGCUGGAAGACUGACGGAGCCAGGGCUCUGCCUGCCACAAUUCAUGAGCUGGCCAGAGGUCUUUGGAUUCCUCCCAGUCAUUGCUGAGAUGAGUGAGGAUUGUUUCAGAAAAUCAGGCCUCCUCCUGGGGAAUGUGCCUCAGCUUCUGGUCAUUCAAGAAUGAGGUUGGAAGAGAUCAUUCUCCUGUUUGCAAAUGAGAAACAAGUAUAGGUGUGAAGAGACCUGUCCACAGCCAUUCAACAAAUGAAAAGUCCAAUCGAAGAUGGGACCUGAUUUCUUACACCCCAGGCUUGCUUGUUCCUUUAGGUCUUUACUGCAUCAUUCCAGAGAGACCUUCUGUGCCAUACGCUACAGUUCCACCCCCUCUUAUGCCGCUUAGCACUCACCAUUGCCCAACAUAGGAGCUGUUUUAUGUCUUCCUCUUGAUUCUCACUGUUUCCUGCUUUGGAGCAUAAGCUGGACAGAGAAUACCAUCGGAGCUCCUCUGGAACAUGUCCUUGUCUUCUCAGAGUGUGAAGUGUGUGUGUGACAGUGCUUUUCUGAGGACUCAGGUGACCUGGAGGCUGGAGAACAGCAUGGAGCAAGGAAAACAAAGACGAUGUGCUGGAGUGUAUGUUGCUUUCAUAAUUAUGUGAAAGAAAAUGUAGAGAAAUUUGAAAGGAGAACUGGUUAUCAGUAGUGCCAUCCUGCUCAAAUAUCUUCAAAUACACACCACCAUCCAUGUGUGGGUUGAUUAAGGAGCUGACGUUCAUUAGAUCUGCAGUCUCCUGACCUGAUGUGCAUCAGAAUCACUGGGAGAACAAACAAACAAAAAUGAAUCCAAAACAAGCAACGAACAGACAGAUUCUCAAGUCUUGCCAAGUCCAAAGAUUGAUUUGGUGGAGAAAUUGUACUUUGAAAGCUGCCCAGUUUACUGCCUUCAGAGAGUUUUCAGGAUGUGACAUAGGAAGGAAGAACCCAGGAGGGGACUGGUGGGUUUCCUGAGUUGAGAAGACAGACUGCUGAAAUGUUUCCAGGCAGACCAUGGCAGCUAGAGUUCAGAGGGCAGAGCACAAGAGACGAGAUUGCUGCAUAGAAAGAGAACUCCAGAGAUCUGCAGAGGGUCCUGCUUGAGGAUUCAGAAGUGAAAAACUGGAGAGAGAAAAAACAUGUUUCAGAAAAACUAUAGUACACCAGAUUCCGGCCUUGGCCAUUGGUUUUGAGUCUCUGCUGAUGACCCAAUACCUGAUUGAUUCUUGGCAUCAUUCACCUGGAUCCCUCAAGGCUUCAGACUUUGCAUUUCUGAUUACUUGGCUGACUCCACCCAGACCUGUGACUCAUGACUCAGCUGGUCCUGCGGCCCCCACCCAGAGGUGGACUAAGCACGCAAUAACCAUUUUCCACAUCUUCCACAUUUCCCCCAUGAUGGCAUCCCCAACCAAUCAGCAGCACCCAUUCCCUAGUCCCCUGCCCACCAAACUAUCCUUGAAAAACCCUAACCUCCAAGGGUUCAGGGAGACCAAUUUGAGUAAUAACUUCAUCUUCUGCAUGGUGUGGCUGGCCUCAUGUCAAUUAAACUCUUUCUUUACUGCAA
ensembl:lncRNA LINC00598 long intergenic non-protein coding RNA 598